rnacentral:rRNA from 1 species
GACGUAGGGUGCGAGCGUUUGUCCGGAUUUAUUGGGCGUAAAGAGCUCGUAGGCGGCUCGUCGCGUCGACCGUGAAAACCCGCGGCUUAACUGCGGGCUUGCGGUUGAUACGGGCGGGCUAGAGUUCGGUAGGGGAGACUGGAAUUCCUGGUGUAGCGGUGAAAUGCGCAGAUAUCAGGAGAACACCGGUGGCGAAGGCGGGCUCUGGGGCC